CAGGCUCAGAUUGAACGCUGGCGGCAGGCCUAACACAUGCAAGUCGAGCGGAUGACGGGAGCUUGCUCCUUGAUUCAGCGGCGGACGGGUGAGUAAUGCCUAGGAAUCUGCCUGGUAGUGGGGGACAACGUUUCGAAAGGAACGCUAAUACCGCAUACGUCCUACGGGAGAAAGCAGGGGACCUUCGGGCCUUGCGCUAUCAGAUGAGCCUAGGUCGGAUUAGCUAGUUGGUGGGGUAAUGGCUCACCAAGGCGACGAUCCGUAACUGGUCUGAGAGGAUGAUCAGUCACACUGGAACUGAGACACGGUCCAGACUCCUACGGGAGGCAGCAGUGGGGAAUAUUGGACAAUGGGCGAAAGCCUGAUCCAGCCAUGCCGCGUGUGUGAAGAAGGUCUUCGGAUUGUAAAGCACUUUAAGUUGGGAGGAAGGGCAGUAAGCUAAUACCUUGCUGUUUUGACGUUACCGACAGAAUAAGCACCGGCUAACUCUGUGCCAGCAGCCGCGGUAAUACAGAGGGUGCAAGCGUUAAUCGGAAUUACUGGGCGUAAAGCGCGCGUAGGUGGUUCGUUAAGUUGGAUGUGAAAGCCCCGGGCUCAACCUGGGAACUGCAUCCAAAACUGGCGAGCUAGAGUACGGUAGAGGGUGGUGGAAUUUCCUGUGUAGCGGUGAAAUGCGUAGAUAUAGGAAGGAACACCAGUGGCGAAGGCGACCACCUGGACUGAUACUGAC
rnacentral:rRNA from 1 species